rnacentral:rRNA from 1 species
UACGUAGGGUGCGAGCGUUAAUCGGAAUUACUGGGCGUAAAGCGUGCGCAGGCGGUGAUGUAAGACCGAUGUGAAAUCCCCGGGCUUAACCUGGGAACUGCAUUGGUGACUACAUCGCUCGAGUAUGGCAGAGGGGGGUAGAAUUCCACGUGUAGCAGUGAAAUGCGUAGAGAUGUGGAGGAAUACCGAUGGCGAAGGCAGCCCCCUGGGUCAAUACUGACGCUCAUGCACGAAAGCGUGGGGAGCAAACAGG